AACGAACGCUGGCGGCAGGCUUAACACAUGCAAGUCGAGCGCCCCGCAAGGGGAGCGGCAGACGGGCGAGUAACGCGUGGGAAUCUACCCAUCUCUACGGAAUAACGCAUGGAAACGUGUGCUAAUACCGUAUACGUCCUUCGGGAGAAAGAUUUAUUGGAGAUGGAUGAGCCCGCGUUGGAUUAGCUAGUUGGUGGGGUAAAGGCCUACCAAGGCGACGAUCCAUAGCUGGUCUGAGAGGAUGAUCAGCCACACUGGGACUGAGACACGGCCCAGACUCCUACGGGAGGCAGCAGUGGGGAAUAUUGGACAAUGGGCGCAAGCCUGAUCCAGCCAUGCCGCGUGAGUGAUGAAGGCCCUAGGGUUGUAAAGCUCUUUCACCGGUGGAGAUAAUGACGGUAACCGGAGAAGAAGCCCCGGCUAACUUCGUGCCAGCCGCCGCAGUAAAAC
rnacentral:rRNA from 1 species